CACGGGGUUGCGAGCGUUGUCCGGAAUUACUAGGCGUAAAGGGCAGGCAGGCGGAUCCAUAAGUUUAUCGUUUAAGGCGUCGGCUUAACCGGCGUAGGGCGGUAGAUACUGUGGAUCUGGAAUGCGGUUGGGGAAGACAGAAUUCCUGGUGUAGCGGUGGAAUGCGCAGAGAUCGUGAGGAAUACCGAAGGCGAAGGCAGUCUUCCAAGCCGUUAUUUACGCUCAACUGCGAAGGUGUGGGUAUCAAACAGGAUUAGAUACCCUGGUAGUCCCUGAG
rnacentral:rRNA from 1 species